rnacentral:rRNA from 1 species
GAUGAACGCUGGCGGCGUGCCUAACACAUGCCAGUCGAGCGAACGGACGAGAAGCUUGCGUCUCUGAUGUUAGCGGCGGACGGGUGAGUAACACGUGGAUAACCUACCUAUAAGACGGGGAUAAUUUCGGGAAACCGGAGCUAAUACCGGAUAAUAUUUUGAACCGCAUGGUUCAAAAGAGAAUGACGGUCUUGGUGUCACUUAUAGCUGGAUCCGCGCUGGAUUAGCUAGUUGGUAAGGUAACGGCUUACCAAGGCAACGAUGCGUAGCCGACCUGAGAGGGUGAUCGGCCACACUGGAACUGAGACACGGUCCAGACUCCUACGGGAGGCAGCAGUAGGGAAUCUUCCGCAAUGGGCGAAAGCCUGACGGAGCAACGCCGCGUGAGUGAUGAAGGUCUUCGGAUCGUAAAACUCUGUUAUUAGGGAAGAACAUAUGUGUAAGUAACUGUGGCCAUCUUGACGGUACCUAAUGAGAAAGCCACGGCUAACUACGUG